GAUGAACGCUGGCGGCGUGCCUAAUACAUGCAAGUCGAACGCAUUGUGGUUGAAAUGAUAUGAAGAACUUGUUCAGAUUUGAUUUUCAACAUUGCAAUGAGUGGCGAACGGGUGAGUAACACGUGGGAAACCUACCUCUUAGCAGGGGAUAACAUUUGGAAACAAAUGCUAAUACCGUAUAAUAAUUAAAACCGCAUGGUUUUAGUUUAAAAGAUGGUCUUGCUAUCACUAAGAGAUGGUCCCGCGGUGUAUUAGUUAGUUGGUGAGGUAAUGGCUCACCAAGACAAUGAUACAUAGCCGAGUUGAGAGACUGACCGGCCACAAUGGGACUGAGACACGGCCCAUACUCCUACGGGAGGCAGCAGUAGGGAAUACUUCCACGAAUGACGAAAGCUGAUGGAGCAACGCCGCGUGUGUGAUGAAGGGUUUCGGACUCGU
rnacentral:rRNA from 1 species